rnacentral:sRNA from 1 species
AUGGAUGUUUGUACAAGGGAGUCUCUUACAAUGCUGGAAAGACCUGGAAAGAUGGCUGCUUCUACACCUGUGAAUGUUUGGACAUGCAGACUGGCAGAUACAGAUGCAAGGACAGAUGCCCAUCCAUGGAUGGUGUCGUCCCACCACCCAACUGCCAGAUUGUCUCUGACCCUGCAGACCCAUGCUGUAAGAUGAUGCAGUGCAGACAACCUGCCCCCGCCCCCUCAUUCAAUCUGGUCACAGGAAACAAACCCCCGAUCACUGGCAGCAUCACCUUCCCCCCACAACCUAACAACACACAGGUACCCAACCCAUACCAAACAACCCCAGACACCUAUGCCAACACCUAAGAACAUCUGUAUUAUGAAUGGCAAGACCUACAGCCAAGGACAGACUUGGUAUGACUUGGUAUGACGGAUGCGCCAGAGUGCGUGUGUGAUGAUGGAAAGACUGGCUACUACAGAUGUAGUCAGAGAUGCAACACUUACGACAACUUGCCUUCCUCUUGCACAUUGAUCCCUGAUCCAAACGACCCCACCUGUUGCCAGGUGCCCCACUGUGAAACGCCCACACCUGGACCAAACCAGCCUGUCACCAUCAAGGGACAGCCUGAAUCCUUCACAGGAUAUGGAAUCACCGAGACACUACCUCCUACCCAGCCUACCACUGUCAACCCAUUCCUGCCAACUCAGCAGCCUACUCCUUCUCCUCAGCCUAGCACUCCUAAACCAGAUGUCUGUAUCUACAAUGGCUUGGCCUACAGAACAGGUGAGCAGUGGCAAGAUGGAUGCAAGUACAACUGUAUCUGUGAGGAUGGACACAUGAGAGAUGCCCAACAGUUCCUCGUCUGUCUGCGGGAUGUACCCUGGAGACUGACCCCAGCAACUACUGCUGUAAGGUGGCUGUGUGUCAUCAGACCACAACCUCUGCCCCUGGACAGCCAACACCCUCACCCACCAAACCACCAACUUUCUGUGUGUACAAAGGAGUCCCAUACAUCCAGGGCCAGACCUGGCAAGAUGGCUGCUCCACCACUUGCAGAUGUGACAGCAACAUCUACAACUGCUUUGACAGGUGCCCUCAGUAUCCUAACUUACCUGCAGGAUGUACCAAGACUGCUGACCCCAACGAUCCAUGCUGCCUGGUGCCAGUCUGCAGCACCCCAAGACCCACACCCUACAACCCUCACCAUAUCUGGAAUAAAGGAUGGGGUGGACACCAGUGAAGUCAGGUCUUCCGUUCAGAUGUCCCAAAAACCAAGUUGCCUUGAGAUACAGCCAUUUAUUGUCACUGAGGCUGAAGAACUUGAAAAUCUAGACACUAAUAGUGAUGUGCCAGUUGUCUCUCAAUCUGAAGGUUAGUAUAUAUCCUAUGUUUAGUAUUCUUUAAACAAUUCAGCAUUUUGUACUACUGGUAUUAAACUGAAAUUGGUCAUUCUGCCCAAGAAAAGUGC